AUUGAUCUAAACCCUAACUCCAUCUUCUUUCAUCACUGCCGCAUUUGAUAUAUUCUCUCCGAGAAGUGAAGAAAGCUUUCCGAUCAUCACCAAUUCAGAAUGAGAGCUAAGUGGAAGAAGAAGCGUAUGAGGAGGUUGAAGAGGAAGCGUCGAAAGAUGAGACAGAGAUCGAAGUAGAACUACAUUCUGCAGUUCUCAACGGUCUAUCUAUGCUUAUCGUCUUCUCUAGGCUUAUGCUGUUUAAGUUUUAGUUUGAAGUUUCAGUCACAUUUGAGUUGUGAUUUUGUUCUGAUUACACCGAAUUCAAAAUUUAGUAUUCGAUUUUGGCUAUGGAUUUAUGCUUCGUAUCUUUUUGCUCUA